rnacentral:rRNA from 1 species
UACAGAGGUCCCGAGCGUUGUUCGGAUUCACUGGGCGUAAAGGGUGCGUAGGUGGUGGGGCAAGUCGGAUGUGAAAGCUCGGAGCUCAACUCCGAAAUGGCAUUGGAAACUACCCUGCUGGAGGUUUGGAGGGGGGACUGGAAUACUUGGUGUAGCAGUGAAAUGCGUAGAUAUCAAGUGGAACACCAGUGGCGAAGGCGAGUCCCUGGACAAAACCUGACACUGAGGCACGAAAGCUAGGGGAGCAAACAGG